CCCAUCUGGACAACAAUUGGCUUUACCUGCCCCUGCACAACCAUCUAUGUAACUUUUAGCUCUCCCUGCACCACCCACAUCAUAGAAAUCUAAAACUCGCCCUCCUGGUCUGCUGAUUCACCUAUUUGGGCUCCUGAACACCUUGUGAAGCAUGAACAUAAACAACUCCUUGAUCCCGAGAUUUCAUCAACUACGAGUGACGGCUUCUGCUCGUCGCAGAUGCUGGUCCUGACAGAACAACAGAUAGAGCUUUCUGAGGAUGCCACAAUUGCUCAUGAAAUCGUUAACACUCUGUCCUCUUGGA
rnacentral:lncRNA from 1 species